rnacentral:lncRNA from 1 species
GAAGAAGUGACAGAGCGCACUGAUGCUAUACUUGGGUACAAGGUUGUGAAAAAUGGGGAGAGAGAUAUUUGAUAACUUAGGGUUUGCCUUCAAAUUCUUGUUGCCAUAGACCCUGACCGUUGUUUUCUUCAUUCUUUGGCAGAAUUCUCUGGGCCGGUGUUCUUCAUUCUUUGGCAGAAUUCUCUGGGCCGGUGAUCUCACAUGGUGAAGCACCACCAUAAACGAGGAGCUUUUAGCAGAAAUGGGGUUGGAGCACGCGCAAAUGCUUCCCACCACUUCUCAGAAUUUCACAACAAUGGAUAUGCAUGUUUCUGACAUCUGCGCGAUUCGGUUUGCGUUUCUUUGGUAUUAACACUAGGGUCUUGGUUAUCUCCCUCUUGCCCCCAAAUCCAUGAAAUCUAGGGCAUUAUACAGUCUUGCCUUGAGCUCAAUCCCUGUUAUUUUCGAUGAGAAUCCCCUAUUUAUGAUUUCAAAUUCUUCGUCUUUGGUGGUUCUUUCUCUUGUUUUUCUCUUCAUUGAUAUUCCCCAAUUUUGCUUACAAGUUCAAAAUUUUCAGCCCAAAGUUUUGAUAGUAUGACAUGACUUCGUGAUUAGGUCGGCUUAACUUCAAUGCUUGGGGCUACAUUUCUCACUUUUGAGCCUUGAAAAUCCAUGCAUAUGGCCUAACAUCAACCAAAAAAAGAUGUUCCCUAUUUUCUGAUAUUAUGAAUCACCCGGUUAUUAUUUUCUGAUAUUUAUGGAUCAUCGGGUUUGCUUUCGAAAAGUAGUUAAAUUCUGGAGCUGGCUCCACUUGGAGUCGGCCUACUCGGACUUGCCAUGCUGACCCCUAGUACAGGGGCACAACUUGGGCAUAUCAAAAAAAAAAAAUCAAAUUCAUGUACCAAAAUUAUGUAUGUAAUUUAUAUUUGUUUACAUUCAUUUGUGAGUUUUUAUUCUCAUAUAUUCUAUUGUUGUAUUUUCCCCUUUUUCUUAGAUUUUCUUGCAUUGUCUCCAACCAUAAAUCAUUUCUUUCUAAACCCAUGUUUUGUAUACUUUUUCCAGCUCAUUUGGUUGUUUUUGGUUUUGUUUCACUUUUAAAAAAAUUUAUCUAUUAGUGGUUUUCUGGCUUGCAAUGAAUCUCAUCAGCUUCUACAUCGAAUUCUUGAUCAAAGUUAGCUCGUUAUUUUUUUUAGGGGUCAUCAUGUGUGCCUUUUAUGGGCCAGAAUAUAGGACCAAUAUUAGUAUUCCUUCCACAUGGGAAUGAUGUUUCAUCACUAAGACAUGAAUUCAAUUGUUGGCAAUUUGGGUAAAUAUACAUAAAUGACCCGAGUCAGCUCGGGUUUGGUAACUAAUGAUUCUGGAGGGAGUCAUCUACCCCGAGCCUUGGGUCCCUGUUGUUAUUUUCCCAUAAAUUUUCUCAAGUGUGGCUCUGACUUGAAUUCUCUGACCGAUUCCAGUUCCAGGCCCUAGCAAGUUCGAGCCAUGUGUAUUAAGAUCCGGCAUUUUCAUACUGUUCUAACCAGCAUAAUGAUUAAUGGAGCAAUGAAUAGCCCCCUUGACUUCACAUUAGAUACGCACUCAUAUUUGGCAUGCAUUCAUGAUUGACUUAGAUGAUACAUUUUUAUUUUUGUAUCUCCACAAUUAUUUCAAAUAAAUGCAAACUUUGAGAACUAGAUCGUAUUUUAGUUGGCACUGAUGGAAUGUGUUGGUCCCAAUGCAAUGGAUUAGUGGGGAUGCUGAGAGAGCAUUAGACAUGCCCAAAAGGGCAUGUUUGGGCAUGGGCCAAAGAAUCAAACACCAUUAGAACAAAGGUUGUGCUGUAAGAUUGAACAGACUCAACAUUCACCUUGUAUAGUACAUAAUGCCACCAUCAAAGCCAUUAGUUUUCAAGUUGCAUAGAAUAUUACAACAUAGCAAAUAUUUAGAAUAGUGCAUUGCAUGUGUGAGUGUUUGUGUCUGGAAAGAGGUCUACUGUCUUUCUCCUUGCUAGUUAAGAAAAUUGUAUGUGUGCUUCUGUGAGCAGGUGCAUAUAUGUGUUUGUGUGUGUGCGCACAGCGUGCAGUGUAAAAGAAUUCAUAUGGGCAAUUGUUUGUAUAUGUUAAGGAUGGAUAAUCCACUUAACAACAACCUCAUCAUGCACGCAAGUGAUAUGUAACAUUCAUGGCAAUGAACUUGACGGAUUCGAGAAAUUAGACUCGUGAAUCCUUCUUAAGGAUCAGACUCUCAUCAGUCAAUACAUAACGUUAGCUUAAUUGAUGUUCAAUGCAUUGCUUCCCUUAGCACAUAUAAAUGAACAAAAAUUCGGCCGCCUUGCCGCCUAGGUAGGCGGUGGUGUCUGGGCGGGCAUGCUUAACGCAGGUGCCUAGGCAGUCAAGGUGGGUGUCUAGGCGGUCUGAGCGCCCACCUAGCGACAUCCCUUAAAAAAACUUAAAACUUCAAAUCCACCCAAACAAAAAUAAGGCCUGGUAUUGCCCUUCUCUCACUUUCUCUCGUUCUCUCUACAUAUGAGAAGAAGAAGAAGAAGAACAUGGACUCUAAGUGUUCGAUGUGUGGCCUCUCUCUCUUUCUUACACUCACACACAAAGAUGCAUAUGGACCCAUAUGCUCCCUCUUUACAUGUAAGAAGAAAAAAAAGAAAGAGAAGAGGGUGAUCUUUAAGAAUUUUAUACGAUACCUCACACACACACAUACAUGCGCAUGCCCACGCGCACAAUAAACACAUACAUACACACGUUCACAGAACACACACACAAAACUACAGCCCCUACCUCAACCCCUUCCCUUAGCGCUACCUUUUUGUCUAGGUGCCUGCCUAGGCAGCUGCAUCCACCUUCUUGAACAUUGGCACAGAUUAAGCCCAUCACAAUAUUUUCAUUUCAAAUGUGAGCAUCUACUGGGUGAAAGAGAGGUUGAAGAGUAGACUUCGCAUCGUCUAUGUCUUCCAAUCCCUCCCACCAUUCUUGUUCCCCUUUAAUUAUUCUUAGACCGUUUUUCUUCUCUCACACCUGCAGGUAGCUUCUUCAAAUUAUGACAAUCAGUUACCUGGAUAACUUCCAAUGAAGACCAGGCCCCGACACUCCCACCAACACUCAUCAGCGAAUGCAAACUUGUGAGGUUCAAGUCCCUUAAUUUUGGAAGUCUGCUGUCCUCUAUCGCUCCAGUGAUUAUCUCUUCUAUGCUGUUGCAUGUAAUUAUCUGAAUCAAUUCCAAGUUUUGGAGACGUGACAUCGCAACUGAUGGAAAGACAUUAAUCAAUCUGUCACAGCAAAUUAUUGCAACGCGUCUGAGAUUAUUAUGAUGGCAAGCAAUUGGAACAUCGAAGCUCCUUAUGUUCUUCAGCAUUGGCAACUCGUACAGCUCCAACCACUCUAAGCUGGGUCCCCUACCUAUAUCAAGCCACGUCAAAUCUAGACACCCAUCAAUGUACAGAGUUUUCAAGGAUGUCAUAGCUGAUAUGUGAUAAAAAUUUGUCAAUCCAUGGUAUUUGCAUAGGUAUAAUUUUCUGAGAUGUGAAAACAUUGUUUCUACGACAGGCAUGUUAAGAAAUUUGACGUCAAGAAUGAUGAAUGUGCCAAGUGACUUUAAGCGUUUCAAGCCCUCCAACUCCUCCCAUUUUGCACCACCCAUUUCCAUUUCCAAAAUGUAUCGACUCUCAUACAUGUCAAGCUCUUCUAAGUUAGUUAGCCUUGAUAUUAACCCAUACUCAAUUUCUUCAAGGUCACUAGUAUAGCUCAGGUCAAGGUGCCUCAAGUUGACCAAUUCUCCCAUUUUUUGAGGCAAUCUUGUGAUACCUGUGCCCCUUAAGUUCAAAACUUGGAGUUGCUUGAGCUUCCCUAGGGGUGGAAUGUCUUCUAGGUUUUUGCAAUCUCUCAAAGAAAGGAACGGAGAUUACUCAAGUUUGAUAAGGAUGGAGGUAGUGAGCAUAGUUUUGUGAAACUGAGAUUGAGCACCUGGAGGGCCUCCAUACUUUCAAGAAGCCAUCGGGAAUGUUCUCCAAAGUUUGGUUUCCUUAAAGUAGCAAUGUUUUGAGUCUUGAACAAAAAGGGUUAUUCGGAAGUCUCUUUAUUUCAUUCCCCAAUGAUGAUAUACGAUCAACUUCUAUCCAGUCUUUCCACCAUUGGUGCUUCCUGCAGUCCCAAACCAGCUUUUACCAAAAACUUGCCAAAAUCUCUGGAAGAGGAACUAAUCCAUAGUGCUACAUCACGGAUCAAAUCAUGAAGCUUCACUUUAGUAUCAUCACUAGGGAUCUUGUCUAGCAUGCAUGACUCUAUCAGCUUUUCAAUUCGAUCAUGCCCUUUGUUGCUUGCAUAUUCUAGACUGUCUACUCUACCUAUGAGCCCCUCGCAUAUCCAAUACUGUACCAACUCAUCCUUUUCAAUUUCAUAGUCUCCGGGGAAGAGUGAACAAUAUAAGAAGCAUGAUUUGAUGUUGUCACGCUCCAACCGUUCAUAACUAUAUUUUAAAGAUGAGAAGACUUGGCGUUCCAUACCUUCUAUCUCUGGUGAUGCCUCAUGCAAGGCUCUUAAUGCAUUUUCCCACACCUGAACACUACUCUUCCCCUUCGUUGCACAACCGACUGUGAUAAUGGCAAGUGGAAGUCCACUGCACUCCCCGACAAUCUCAUGUGCACAGGGUUCUAUGUUUGGCAAAUCUACGACCUCUCGUGCUUUAUGACGAAACAAGUCCCAUGCAUCACCCUUUUGUAAAACAUCCAAUUUUAUAAUUUUAUCAGUCUCCAUCAGAUUGCAUAUUGCUAACUGUCGGGUGGUAAUUAUGAUCUUGCACCUAUUUUGGGCAUUUGGUCGAGGGACUCUUAUCAUAUCUAUAUCCAACAAAUCCCACAUAUCAUCUAAGAUGAGCAUGAAUCUUUGUCGAUUUAAACUCACAAACAAUAUCUCAGCAACCGUCUCUUCAUCAUCCACAUUUAAUUCCAAUCCUAUUUGUCGUGCAAUGGAAUUCUGUAUUUUUGCGAUGUUAAAAUCUCUAGAUACAGUGACCCAUAGUAUUUUAUUGAAUUCCCGAGUUCCCAAGAGACAAUUGUUAACAUGGUGCAUGAGCGUGGUCUUUCCCACUGCACCCAUUCCAUGAACAGCAAUCAUACGCAAUUCGUCAUUGUUUAAGCAGUUUAGUAUUUCAGUCAAAUUUUUCUUGAAUGUGUACUGACCUGUAAUGGUUCUUGCAGGCAUCUCCCUCCCUAGCGAUGGUGGUGCAGCCAUGGUCCAUUGAACAGAAUCGGCUACAUCGAUGUGGGC